rnacentral:sRNA from 1 species
AGCGUUGCCGCAGGCAACGACCCGAAGGGCGAGGAGCGCAGCGACGAGUAAUCCUUCCCCCACCACCA